UGAGGAAUCUUCCACAAUGGGCGAAAGCCUGAUGGAGCAACGCCGCGUGCAGGAUGAAGGCCCUCGGGUCGUAAACUGCUUUUAUAAGUGAAGAAUAUGACGGUAACUUAUGAAUAAGCACCGGCUAACUACGUGCCAGCAGCCGCGGUCAUACGUAGGGUGCAAGCAUUAUCCGGAGUGACUGGGCGUAAAGAGUUGCGUAGGUGGUUUGUUAAGUAGGUAGUGAAAUCUGGCGGCUCAACCGUACAGGCUAUUACCUAAACUGGCAAACUCGAGAAUGGUAGAGGUAACUGGAAUUUCUAGUGUAGGAGUGAAAUCCGUAGAUAUUAGAAGGAACACCAAUGGCGUAGGCAGGUUACUGGACCAUUUCUGACACUGAGGCACGAAAGCGUGGGGAGCGAACGGG
rnacentral:rRNA from 1 species